AACAAACAGUUCCAUGAAAUGCAAGAAAAGAAGAGUUGUGAUGUACAGAUUUGCCAAACUUAGCUGCUGUUAUUUCAGAAGAUAAAAGUGUGCAUCUAUAAGGACAAGGCCUGCAAAUGGAGCAUUUAUCUCAGCACACUCCCUGAGAUGCUGAUUUCUGCACUGGUACCUAAGCUGCAGGUCUGGAGGAAGUCUGUCCAGGAUGAGACAGAAGGACUCUUUGGGCAAUGGAGGAAUCCCCAAGAAAAGAAGUGGAAUUUGCUGCAUCAGUCCCUGGUCAAAUGAAGAUGAGCAGAAACAUUCUGCUGGUGUGAAUAUGCUCAGGGAUUUAAUUAGCAACAGUGACAAAAGAACAGACAUGGAAACAUGAAAUUAAUUUAAGCUAAGUAUGCAAACCUGCUCUUGCAGUGGGUCACUCAGUGACUUUUAAAACAAAUGU